rnacentral:lncRNA from 1 species
AUGCUCCUAGUCUUACAGGAGUUAGAGAGACAGGAAAGGAUAGCUCUAUUAUAGAAAUAUCUGCAUAUUCUAGGAAUGUAAGUUAAGAAGAUAUUAUGUCUUUCUAAGUUAGCAACCAGCAGAAAUGCACAGAGAUGUUCUUUUGGUUGUAUAAGGAGCUUUAUGGGUCAGGAUUCGAGAGAGAACACAGGAGUGCAUUGAUGAGAACUUGUCCAAGUGGAUGAAGAGAGGUGCUCUGCAGGACUCUGUGCUCACCAACAGAGAGGUGCUCCCUGGGAAUGUAAGCCUCAAAGCUUUGCAACACCUGCGUGCAGCCAUGCCUAAUCGAAUCGCGUAGAACGGGGGAGAGGCGGAGGGAAGGCGCGCGUCCCGCCCCCUCACACGAGCCACGCCCCAACAUGGCGGCGCCCGCGGAUUGCCGCCAACGCCCU